AUUUAUACGAAAAUCAAUUCAUUUUACUUUUCUCAUCUAACCAUUCGUACUUUAAAUCUACCAGAAGAAAUAUUGAUACAAAUGAGUGGGAGAUUGGGUCUUCUCAGCUUCGCCUCUCUUCCAUGGAAGCCACAAGCAAGGUAAGCGGCUUUAGACUCAAGAAAGAGAUUGUGCUGGGACUGAGUAUGAGUGUACGACACAGGUCUAUUUCACAUUGAGUAUUGCCAAUGAAUCUAUCAAGCUUGGUUAUACUGAGGAGUUGAUCUGAAGUCCGAGAAGAGUAUCCCUUUGCGCCUCGUCUUUGUAUUAACAGUCUUGCUACGUUCAGCAAAAUCCAACUGGUUGAUUCCGAUUCAUUCAACUUUCCAUUGUAAGCACCUUAGAUGUAAUCUUUUGUUUUUAUCUGUCUUUAGUGGGUUCUAUUUGCAUCACAAAACUUAAUCUUGGUGAGGCAUGAGUCAUAAAGGUAUAAAACAAAAGUAAAAUCAUUUGAAGUUUACCAAUAAUAAUAGUCACACACUACUUUGUCAGUCUCUCUUUUAAUCUUCAGAAGCGGAGCAGUAUGGAGAAGACAAUGGCAAUUGAUGACCAUAUAGGUUGUCCAAUGAGUAUCUGAUUGCUGAUGCACGCACGAGCGAAGACUCAAGUGACAUCUCAGUUUUUGCUUCUCGUGGUUCCUUUCUUACAUCAAUAUGUUACCAACUAUUUUUUGUUUCUCUGUAGCCUAGAACCACAGCUUCUCGUAUGGUGAGCCAAUGAAUGUAGAAUCUACAAGACAAGCUUUGUGUGAUCUGGCGUUAUGGUUUGGUGAAGGACAUGAAGAGUCAAUGGUAAUAACUGCCCCAUUACUCAUUAAUAUCACAGGAAGAGUCACUAAUAACAGGCUGAAUUUACUCUCGUCUAAAAAGUUUCGUUAUGUCUAUUCCUCUAUGUUUCUUACUAUUUACCUUAAUAGAUACGUAAAUCGAAUUCCCCUUCUUUCACUGAACUACAAUGUUGUCAGCCGGUGAGCCACGAGGAUGGAAUGUCUGUCGAGACGGUUUUUGGGAGAAAAAAGCUCCUUUCAGUAAGGCCUUUCCAAUCACAAAAUUUGUCUUUUUAUUGAAACUAAUACUCAGUAUCACUGGUACCGAGGUCCAUUUACGAUUUCGACAUCCAAAGGAAAUGGUAUAGUCUUUUCUUGACCCAAAGACCACAGCUAAGAUUCAGGUUCUUGGCAACCAAUACCAAAGCAAACUGCUAGAAAUCAUUCACGCCAAGUGCUAACUUGAUAACUCUUUACAUGUGACUUUGGAACUGUUGUUUUAUCUUCAGAUAAGCAUCUAAAGACUCUCUCUUCUCAUUGUUUGUUUAGUGAACUGCCUUUGUGGGUGGUACUUGUACCUGCGCAGAUAAAGACGAAUCUAUGCAUUCAGACAAAGGUUCAUGGAACGACCCCGAGAUCUUAAUACAUGGAAGUCGACAACGUUGCAAGUAAGACGGCAGUCUUUUAUCCUGUAGUGCCCUCUUCGGAAAUGAAUGUUGUGUAUGGUUGACAGCUGUUUUGUGAUUUCUCACAAUUUUGCUUACAAUACCCAUCCAUUUGGUUAUGUAUUUGCAUGGUUACUUGGUGGGUAAUGUGCAUAUUUAAGUUGUACUAUAUAUUUAUAUAA